rnacentral:rRNA from 1 species
ACGCUGGCGGCAGGCCUAACACAUGCAAGUCGAGCGGUAGAGAGAAGCUUGCUUCUCUUGAGAGCGGCGGACGGGUGAGUAAUGCCUAGGAAUCUGCCUGGUAGUGGGGGAUAACGUUCGGAAACGGACGCUAAUACCGCAUACGUCCUACGGGAGAAAGCAGGGGACCUUCGGGCCUUGCGCUAUCAGAUGAGCCUAGGUCGGAUUAGCUAGUUGGUGAGGUAAUGGCUCACCAAGGCGACGAUCCGUAACUGGUCUGAGAGGAUGAUCAGUCACACUGGAACUGAGACACGGUCCAGACUCCUACGGGAGGCAGCAGUGGGGAAUAUUGGACAAUGGGCGAAAGCCUGAUCCAGCCAUGCCGCGUGUGUGAAGAAGGUCUUCGGAUUGUAAAGCACUUUAAGUUGGGAGGAAGGGUUGUAGAUUAAUACUCUGCAAUUUUGACGUUACCGACAGAAUAAGCACCGGCUAACUCUGUGCCAGCAGCCGCGGUAAUACAGAGGGGUGCAAGCGUUAAUCGGAAUUACUGGGCGUAAAGCGCGCGUAGGUGGUUUGUUAAGUUGGAUGUGAAAUCCCCGGGCUCAACCUGGGAACUGCAUUCAAAACUGACU